rnacentral:rRNA from 1 species
UACGAAGGGGGCUAGCGUUGCUCGGAAUUACUGGGCGUAAAGCGCACGUAGGCGGAUUGUUAAGUCGGGGGUGAAAUCCUGGAGCUCAACUCCAGAACUGCCUUCGAUACUGGCGAUCUCGAGUCCGGGAGAGGUGAGUGGAACUGCGAGUGUAGAGGUGAAAUUCGUAGAUAUUCGCAAGAACACCAGUGGCGAAGGCGGCUCACUGGCCCGGUACCUGACGCUGAGGUGCGAAAGCGUGGGGAGCAAACAGG